AAGGCCUCCGUGGCCAGAGAGCCACGGGCAAGGGGCUGAGUAGAGGGGGGUCCGAUGGCAGUUGCUUAAAAAUGCCCCCGUAGCAUCAAGAGGUGCCAGCCGAGUCAACUUAGGUGAGAAGCAGUGACACCCACAACCAUACCCCAAACAGGGUGAGCCUCUGAAGAGUCAUCCCUGGGCCAGACAACAGCCAAGGCAAGAAUGAUGGCUAGUAGGCUCCUGCCCGCCCCCCUACACUCGAGAAUGAAGAGCCUGUGAGAGAAAUUUUCCCAAGAAGUAGAAAAGGCAUGGCGGUGGAAGCCCUGUUCCCAGAACUAACUGAGCUUCCCAACAGACAGAAGCCAGAGAGUCCCUAGCCUAGAGACAUUUUCUGAAGACCUGUGGAAAAGGAAAAAAAGCGGGCUGUCCCCUGCAGCAUGCCUCCAAGGGGCCGAGAGACAACACCUAGAGCACCAGGUAAGACCCAGAGUCUGCCUGGUCCAGCCACCUCUUUAAUGGAAUGGGGACCCAAGUCCCAGAGAUGACAGGACUGACUGGAGAAGGGGCCUAGAUCCCCAAGCCUCUCCCAUCUUCUGAUGGCACCACAGGGUAAAAGAGUCUUUCUUGGGGUAAAUGAUGUAGAAAGGCUACAUACCUCUUCUCAGGGAAGCCCAACUUGAGGGAGGAAGGAGGUGGGGAGGGUUGUCCAGACAAGCUCUGCUUACCAGCCCAGCACAUGUAUAUGUAUAUUUCCGGGACCAUCGAGCCACAGGGCGCACCUUCCUGCCCCACAGCCCCUCCCCACCAUCCUAGUCCCCACCCCAACUCUUCCAAGAUGCCUUUUGAGCCAUCCAGGGGGCAGUGGAAGGAACCUCCCUGGCCACAAGCGCCUGGCAGUCCUCUCAAGGGCUCUCAGGAGUUCUGCUGGGUCUGCCCCCAUGCCCUGCUCAGGUGCUUUCCUCCCCCUCAACCUCGUAUGCCCUGUAAGGAUAGUACUGAGGCUGUGUUAGCCAUGAGUGUAUAGACAUAAUCCCCGAGCACACAGAAGUGAUGCUAGGUCUGCUGAAUGAGCUAGCACGACUAUGAGAGCCUAUCCCAAACCCAGAAGACUAAGAAAUUGAGACCUCAGGCAUGGGGGGUUAGUUAAGGUGAGGGGCCAGGCCCUGCUGCUAUGAGUGAAGAAACCCAGCACAGUGCCUUGUACUCUUACCACAGGGAAAUUCUAUUUCUCUGGAGCCUUGAAGACAUAUGGGGAUACAUGCAUUUAAACAUUCACCAGAUUGAUUAUUCGAGAGCCAUAGGGACAGAACUAGACAGUCUUUAUCCAAGGAUGGGAUGAGGAAGAAUGCCUGCCUCUCAGUACUACCUGGCCAUUUACUUCUCCUUAAGAUGGACCACCUUCUGUCCAGGUCCCAUGGCACACCCAGAAGAUAUAAAAUCUUUGCUGUGCUCUUCUUUAUCCCAAGGUGGGACAGCAAUGGCUCUCAGUUCCCCUCUCUGAACAUGUAUCUGCAAGUCUAGAAUGCCUGCCCUCCCCCACUCUUGGUCCUCCAUCCAAGGUGAUCUUUUCCAGGCCCGCAAGCUGUCCAGAAGGUAGAACAGGCUCUGGCAUCCUGCCCCAAACCUAGCCAUCAGAUGUCCUGUUUUUAACUUUUGUCUGCAGUUGUGUUUUAGAGUGUAAGGUGAAUCUUUUUACAUACCUAAGUAGGAAUACUUACUAUAAAUGGAAAACUGACUCUAUUCGUAGUUUGAAACAAUGGUGUGAGAACACAGCCUCAGUGCCACACUGUAGACUGCUUCUGUGGCUUGCCAGGCCCCAAGCUAGGCUUUCCUCCCCAUACGUAGGACCCCAGGUUGCCAGGCAUUGUGGCACAUGCCUGUAAUCCCAGAAUUCCAGAAGUGGAGGAUCAAGAACUCUAAACACUGAAUGAGUUUGAGGGUAGCCUGAUCUACUUGCAUCUCUGUUUCUGGAAAGCAAAAAGAAGAGAGAGAGAGCAAAAGAAAGGAGAAUAAAGGGGAGAGGAGAGACAACCCAAAUGGCGUGUCAUCAAAUGACUCCCACAAUCUCUCACUCUUGCUGCCCCCAGAAAGCCAAGGUGGCAUAGGCCAAAGGGCUUUGGGCACAGUCACACCCUGGGGAAGGCAGGGGCUCAGUGUGGUCCCUAGCAGCCUAGCUGUGCUAUGUCCAGCCAUCCCUCCUAACUAAUUACUGGAAUGUCCCUCAGUCAGGUUCAAUGAUGCCUCUCCCAUGGUCCAUGGGAGCUGUGGGGAAUGGAGUAGAGAGGACAGGGUGUUGUGACUUCUAGAGAAUCCCAUGUUCGGAUCUCCUGGUAAAGGGACUGUGGAAAUUUUUCGAGAGCUCUAGACAGAAAGAAUUUGGCUAUUGGCUGGGGACGCCUGAGGGCAGAAGUACCCUGGCUUUAGUGACAAAUCAGAGAACAUUUUCCCACUGCUCCUGCACCCCACUCCCAACUUGGGUUGCUGCUAGAUUCUUGUUGGAGGCCUAGGAGCUAUGGGGUUUCUGAAAAACGGAGGUGGACUUUUUUUUUUUUCCUGUCCUUUCCCAGCCAGGAGAAAAGGCUGCCUCUCCCUUCAGACAACCCCCAAAGUAUGUCAUCCAGCAUCAAGGCCACCACAGUCACCAUGAAGCAAGGGUCUUCUGGGGACCCUGGAAUCUUGGCAAAAGCAGGGUGAGUGCCCACAGAAGAAAAUGAAUUAUCCAUGUGGCCACUCAGUCAGUCACUACAUGUCAUCUACUAUGUCUGUUGUCAUGUGCAAAGUUAUCAGCAGUAUCUAGGGACCCCAAAUGAUAACAUAUGGGCCCUGACCUCAGGCAACUGGAAAGGUAAGUAGGGAUGGCCCAGAAAUGAAACACCCUGAGGCCCCGUAGUACCAGGUAGCUUGCAAGCCGUCUACUCAAGCAGCAUUCAUCAUGGCCACGAUUUGGGGGCUGAGGGAAUCCAGCAGGCUCCUUUUCCUCAUGAAGGAAGGUGUUCACAAAAGAAAACUGUACCUCAAGGGUUGAGAAGAAACAGAGUUCAGAGGAUGGGCAAGAACAUGAAGGUGUCCUGGGGUCUAAAGAAGUGAGGGUUGGUUUCUCACCAGUGGUCGUUUGCCCAGAGUCCAUUCAGAGAUGGGUGGGGGACAAGAGCAAGAACCAAAGGUAAGAGGACACAGAGGGUUUAUUUAAUAAGUGCAAGGCCACGGGUUCCAUUCCCAGCCCUGCAGAGAAAAAAAAAAUCAACUGUACACUUUAAAUGGAUGGACUCUACCUCAAGAAAGCUAACUUAAAAAGAGAAAGGGAAUGAAGAUGGAGAUUUCAGUCGCAGAGGGCUCCAGGGCAAGGGAAGAACAGGUGGGAGGCAGGCCACUACACAUGCUCACACUCCUUUUCCUGCCCAGGAAGCCAGCCGCAGCCCCAGUGCGCAUGUGCGCGGAGCGUCUGUCUCCCAGCCUGAGGUGCAGUGCUGCAUCUCUGGUCAGUUGGGAGUCUGAGAUGAAGCACUGUAGCUCAGGAAGGGAGAAGUUGUUCUGCAGCCAUCACCAGGACGUGGUAAGUGUUGAUGUGGGGUAGCAGGCCCGGAUAGGUUAGACUCCACUCCAGCAGUCCAUGGUGAUAUUCCUUGGCUCAAGCUGCACCAGUGCUGACCACUCAUGUGCACCUGUAACUGUACACUCUGGUCCAUUCGGUGGCAGCGGUACUGACACGUAGAAGACAGUGCUAAUGUAAAAAGAUAUGGCUCCUUUAAGAAACUCUGUCGUACAUCUAUCCAUUCUGAAGGGGUUCCAACACACCCUCAGAAUCCAUCUCAACACUGCAGACUCAAAUACCCACUAUAAAUGAUUCUUGACUGAAACCCAUUGAAUCCCUGUAGAUCAUCAGACAAUCCCUAACAGCUCUUCCAUCCCAGAGGUAGUGUCCCAGGGUCCUGGCAGCCCAACACUGUCAUGCUGCAGCAUCAAAAUGUUGCACAUUCCUGUUAGGCGUGGAGUCACAGUCUUCACUCUUUGACCCUCUAACUCUGCCUCUGUGCUAUUGCCUAAACUAGCCAAGGCAUUUCACAAAUGUCUACCCUGGCCCAGAGGCUUCAGAGAAGCAAGGGGCAGCAGAUGAGCACCACAGAGGAAGGUGACCCACUUCACAGGUGAGAAAACUAAGCCUUAGUUAAGUGGCUGACCUUAGGUCACAUAUGGACAUGCUGGGGUCCACCUUCUUAUCCACUGUGAGACUGUGGAUAAACCCCAGUCUGCUAUGGUAACAGAGGCAGGACCACACACUUCUAAGAGUCCCGUGGUCUCUCUUCAUGCUAUCUCCUCACCCAGUAGGUGCUAUUUGAUGCCACUUUACAAGCAAGGUGCAGAGUUCAAGUUACCUGCCGGAAGCCAACAAUGAGAAAGUUGCCAGAGCCUAGGAACUAUCCUCGUGCAAACUGGUUUAAACUCAUCCUCCUGGCCAGAGCACUGUGGCCUGUGGCAAUGGGGGGGAAGGAACUGGUCCCAGAUGUUUUCUGAUCAAUUCUGGUAAACAAAGGCUGCCUUUGACCACAUGGAAGGUACUUCCCAAGCCACUCCAAGCUUUAGUCGCUCUUCCCAGGGCAGGAAGCUGCACCCUGGGAGUCGCAGCACCCCACACUGGCUGCCAGAGCUCAGCUCUGGCUGGAUGCAGAGAAAAACUGUUGGUCCCUAGAGGUGUGGCAAGUGCUGAAGGCCUCUCUCUCCCACCUUGUCCUCACGGUCCAGUUUUCCCAGGAAUCCCUUGGAUGCUAAGAUGGGGAUUCCUGGAAAUACUGUUCUUGAGGUCAUGGCCUAACAGCUGGAGCUGCCUCCUUCCCACCCUGGCAUUUCCUGUCUGGGAUGCGGGAGGAGAAGGCGGUACACUGGAGGUAAGAGGCCUCGGGAGAUCCCUUCUGACCUUUGCAUUGCUUUUCUUUCCACUGUGCCCGUAUUUCAUAACAUCCCCGGGAGGCUGGAUGUGGGAACCUCAGAACCGCCUCACUCUUGAGAAACUUGUCCCAAGUCGCAGUGGUUGAAGCAGGACCUUGAGGCAGCCUUUCCUCCACUCGAACCCUCCGCGUUCCUUCCCUGCCGGAGGAAAGGAGGCGCCAUAGGUCCAUAUCCACAUUACUAGGAAAAUCAUACACAAAUUUAUUUCAAAAUUUUAUUAAAUCUGUUGUAUAAACUAACAGAUAAACCCUUCAUCUCGGUUGGAUUCAGAGCACAGCAGCCACAGGAAACAGCUUUCGAGGUAGAAAAAUACAAGUUUGUAGCGCCCCCCGGUGGUAUUUCUGCCCACUUCAGGAACAGUGCGAUUUCCCCAUACACUGCGCAGGAGCCUCUGCAGCCUGCCUUCCUGUUUCUACACACUUCUACCAAAAUUCUUUCUGCCCAGUCACUUUUGAGUGGACAUGCUUAAAACUUAUUAAUCUCCUGCCAGAGAUGCUUCUGCGUCUUACAGUUGGCUUUUCUUUAGGCCCAAACCAGGGCAAGUCCACCUAGACAGCAAAAGGCAGAGGAGAGAUAGAGUUCAAGUUCCAUGGCCCCUAGCAUUGAAUGUCUGAGCCAAAAGGAAAAGUAGGGCCAAGUACUCCUCCCUUAUAGCUCCCUGCUCCCCAACUCUUUAAUUUUCCUUAAAUUUCUGCUGUGCCAGUCCAGUCUAUACAGUGAGUUCCAGGACAGCCAGAGUUACAUAGUGCUUGCUACAUGUCUCUGCAUAGUAAGACCCUGUCUCAAAAAAAAAAAAACAAAAAAAAACUAGAGCCAGGUUGUCUGUAGAGUGAUUGCUUACAGUGUGUGAAUCCCUGGGUUCCAUGCCUAGCACUUGUGCAAAUCAGGUGUGGUGGUACAUGCCUGUAAUCCCAGCACACGGCAGGAAGAUCAAACAUGCACAGUCAUCCUUGGAUAAAUAGUGAGUUUGAGGCCAUUCUGGGCUUACAUGAGACCCUAUCUUGAGAGCAAAAACUAAAAAAUGAAAAAUAAAAAGGCCACCUUUCCAGUUGCAUGUAUGGAAUGGUGACUGGAUGGAUGUCAAAAUCCUUGAUGGAAUCCAGGUAUAAAACUAGAACUUGGGCUGGGAAGAUGAGAUGGCUUACCAUUAAAGCCCACCCAAAUCAAACCGGAACCCACGUGACAGAAGGAGAAAAGUGACUCCUGAAAAUUGUCCUCUAACCUCCAUGUGUCUGGCAUGCUGUGUGCUGCAAGCAUGCACACGCAUCAUAAAAAGAAAUAAGUGUGAAGGAAAAACUAGAACUUUGGGGGCUACGG
ensembl:lncRNA